rnacentral:pre_miRNA from 1 species
AAAAAGUCACAAUCAACAUUCAUUGCUGUCGGUGGGUUGUGAUGCUGAAGGGAAAACUCACGGAUCAAUGAAUGCAACUGUGAUUGGAACA